UACGGAGGAUGCGAGCGUUAUCCGGAUUUAUUGGGUUUAAAGGGUGCGUAGGCGGCUUUGUAAGUCAGCGGUGAAAUUUUGCAGCUUAACUGUAAAAGCGCCGUUGAUACUGUGAAGCUAGGAUUUGGUUGCUGUGGGCGGAAUGUGUGGUGUAGCGGUGAAAUGCAUAGAGAUCACACAGAAUAUCGAUUGCGAAGGCAGCUCACAAAGCCAAUAUUGACGCUGAGGCACGAAAGUGUGGGGAUCAAACAGGAUUAGAUACCCUGGUAGUCCACACUGUAAACGAUGAUAACUCGCUGUCGGCGAUAGACCGUCGGUGGCCAAGCGAAAGCGAUAAGUUAUCCACCUGGGGAGUACGACCGCAAGGUUGAA
rnacentral:rRNA from 1 species